GCCCUCGUAGCCCAACGGCAGAGGCAACGGUCUGAGGGACCGUACGGUGCGCGUUCGAAUCGCGCCGAGGGCAC
rnacentral:tRNA from 1 species